rnacentral:tRNA from 1 species
ACCUGGCUGGCUCAGCCGGUUAAGCGUCUGACUUCAGUUCAGGUCAUGAUCUCGCAGUUUGUGGGUUCGAGCCCUGUGUCAGGCU